CAGCAGUGGGGAAGCAGGGAGUCGAGGUAAAGAAAAAUAAGCAAAAGCCACGUUAUGGGUGCCAAGCAGUCCCAAUCGGCAAUGGAGAUGGCAAGCAUCCAAAUCUAGAUUGUAAUCGCUCCUGACUUCCGCUGUCUUGCUGCGCAAAGUGCAAAGGAAGCAACUUUUAUUUCCUUUUGAGCUGCCUGCUCCCGGUCUCCCUUGCUCUCCUCCCAGCCUUCAGAGGCUCUGCCGGCCCCUGGGAUCCUGACAGCCUGACUCCAAAGCCCUGCCUGCUGAUACCCAGCCCGCUCCAGCUGUUGCUUCUGACACCAUGGAUCUCGCCUUCCUCUUAGGUUCCCAUGGUGGAGAGCUUUCACCUUUUCCCUGAAAGGAAGAGUCUGCAGCUUCUCCCAGGUAUACGUGAAUUCCAGGAUCAUGUCCCUUGGGCCAUCGUUAGAGAAUGUAAGUCACUGUGUUGCAGGCCCAAUGAUAUUGGCACAGUCACCUGAGACCAAGCUGGCUGGCAGUGAUGUGGCAGGGGCUGUGUGAUGGUGUAGUUGCCCGGAAAGGGGUGAGUAUAUUGGGUAUGCAGGGCGUGGUGAGGCCGGGUGCUCUGCUGUGCUGCCUGAAGGCAUGAAGUCACAAACUCAUCAGAGCUUCUUUCCAGAACUUUCUGUCUUGUGUUUUUAUUGCUAUUGGUGGUAACUGAAAUUUUGAAUGACGGGACUCCUGUCUCACGACUGCUCCCAAUAGGAAACAGGUAUUUCCGUUGCACAUUACCUAUGCAGCAAAUGUCUUCCAAUGACGUCUAUGCCCAGCAGUUAGGUUGAAAUCAAAGUAUUUGACCAUAUUGAUGCCUUAAUAAACACACACAACACUCUCUCACAUGCAAAUUUCCCCA
rnacentral:lncRNA from 1 species